rnacentral:rRNA from 1 species
AGCGAACGCUGGCGGCAGGCCUAACACAUGCAAGUCGAACGAACUCUUCGGAGUUAGUGGCGGACGGGUGAGUAACACGUGGGAGCGUGCCUUUAGGUUCGGAAUAACUCAGGGAAACUUGUGCUAAUACCGAAUGUGCCCUUCGGGGGAAAGAUUUAUCGCCUUUAGAGCGGCCCGCGUCUGAUUAGCUAGUUGGUGAGGUAAAGGCUCACCAAGGCGACGAUCAGUAGCUGGUCGGAGAGGAUGAUCAGCCACAUUGGGACUGAGACACGGCCCAAACUCCUACGGGAGGCAGCAGUGGGGAAUCUUGCGCAAUGGGCGAAAGCCUGACGCAGCCAUGCCGCGUGAAUGAUGAAGGUCUUAGGAUUGUAAAAUUCUUUCACCGGGGACGAUAAUGACGGUACCCGGAGAAGAAGCCCCGGCUAACUUCGUGCCAGCCGCCGCGGUAA